rnacentral:piRNA from 1 species
UAGAAAAGCAGCAGAGCUUGCUCCAUAAU